UGCCUUUCAGUCUCAGGAUUCCGAGUGCAGCUCUGUCAGACGUGGACUUUCUUCUUUUUUCCCACAGAAGUGGAUGUCUUCAAGCUCUUCUCACCUAGUCAUAUACUGAGAAGGACCAUAGGAAAGAGCUUACACUCAAAUAGACUGUUAUUAUUUGUUCAUGCCAUUUAUUUAUUUAUUUAUUUAUUUAUUUAUUUUGCUUUUUAGGGCACUCAGGGCAUAUGGAGGUCAAAUCGGAGCUACAGCUGCUGGCCUGUACCACAGUUGUAGCAAUUCCAGAUCCAAGUGGCAUCUGGGACCUAUACCACAUAGCAAUGCCAGAUCCUUAACCCAUUGGGCAAGGCCAGGGAUCGAACCUGCAACCUCAUUGUUCCUAGUCGGAUUCGUUUCCACUGCGCCAUGACAAGAACUCCUCUUCAUGCCUUUUAAAAGUAGAUCAAUGUUAUAAAAAAGCUUGAAACAAUUUACUAAAAUAUUUUAGAUAGUCUUCAGUUUUAAGUUGCUCCUGUUACCCUUCUUCUUUAUCCUAGAUAAUUAAAAGUAUUCUAUCAAUUGAGCUGAUUGCAUUUUCCAUCUCAUUUAUUUUUUUUCCUCAGAGGCUUAAUUUCUUUAUAAUCUUGAAACUGUUCAUAUUCUAUAAUUUCCAUGUUUCAGGUCACUGCUGUGGCAUGGGUUCUCUAGCUAUUUUUGAGAAAUCUAUACGCAGACUAAUCUUUGUUUUUCUUCUAGACUCUAUUAAUAAAGAUUAUGAAGAGGCUUGCACAGUAGCAUGAUCAUUCGAGAUUUCAUUACGGUCAUUAAUGGUUUUUGAAUGUCAGGUUUUUUUUUUUUGUCAUACAAUCAUUGAUAAUUGGGGUUUUUAGCUAUUUUAUAUUGAGAAUAGAAGUCUUUCAAAACAUUGUCACCUUUGAAUCUAAUUAAUUGCAGAGUGAUAUGACCAUUGUUAAUGGAUGAGUCUUUUUUUAGUUUAGUUUAAAACCUAGACCUUUUUUUGCUUCCCCAAAUAAUUGUACUUAUGGUCAGAUGCAUAGUUAGAAUAAAAAUUGCAUCAAUUAUGAAGAAAAAUAUAAAUGUCAUUUUAUUUGCCAUCUAUAUUAAUAAUACCAUGGAAGAGUCAGAUGAGGAAAAAGGCCUAUUUUCAUGGCAUGGACCAAGUUUUAUGUAGCUGAUACUCAGUCAUUCUCUUUGGGAUUGGUGUGCAUUCAAAUUCAAAUCUCACGGCCAAUGCUAAGCACAGUGAGGUCAAACCAAGAAGCUCUGAUGCCAAGUUAUCUUAGUGAGAACCAGAAGUACCUCUUUCCAUCCAGGUUUUCUUUGGGGAAACAAUACUUAACUGAAAUGAUAAGAUGAUGUGAACUUGGAUCCUUCUAAGGGUCAAAUAGGAAUCAGUUAAAUAUAUAUGCUUAUGCGGUCUGUUAAUAUGGGUUAAGCACUUUGUGUUAUAUUCUCCUUAAGGUAGAGGAAACAGACACAUCAAGAGACAAUUAUUAAUACCAUGUAGUAAAUGUCAUGAUGAUAUUGCAGAAUCAGGUCCAGCUGCUUGCAGCUCAGAAAUCAAUACAUUAGGGAGACAACUGUUGGUAAAAGGAAAGUUGCUGUUGAACAGAAUGCCAGCAAUCUGGGGAGAUGGUAGACUCAGUGUCCCCCCCCAAAGCCAUCUCCAAAGAUUCUGCUUGGCCAGGAAACUUUUUAAAGGGAAAAGAGAGAAGUUCUCUGGUGGCCUGGUGGUUAAAGAUCCAUCACAACUGUGUUUAAGGUCACUGCUCUGGCAUGGGUUCUAUCUCUGGCCCUGGAUUCUGCAUGCUGUGGGCAUGCCAAAAAUAAAUAACUAAGGGGAAAAGAGAAGUAAUCUCAGUUAAUCAUUGCGAUGGGGUCAGAGUUGUCACCAUCCCCCACUGUGUGCAAGCUUGUCGACUUCUUGUGAUUUUUUCUUUAGAUGCUAUCUCGUUCAUAUGGUUUGUUUGUAAGACUCCUGAAGGGAAACUAGGGAAGAGAUUUGGUCAUCUGUUAAUUACUUAUUCUUCAUUUCUGUUUAUUUGAUUUAUGGAAAGAACCAACAAGUUAGGCAAAGUACACUGUGAUGAAAAGAUCUGAAAGCUGUGCGAGGCAUGGAGAUGAGUGGAGCAUGGGGUACCUGGUUUAAGGUUAGUACAAGACAAAGGGGCCUCCUGCAGAGAGCAUGUGUCAGCUAAAAGCUGCUAACAAUGGAGGUGUUGGUUUAGCAUGAUAGGACAGCACAAAACAAGCACAUGAAUCUGCAUAGAAAAAAACCAAGCAAUGCUUCUUAGAGAAGUCUGAUAGGUCUUCAAUGUUGGAUAGAAAUGAGCCAGAUGCAAAGUUAAAAGAAGUCAGAGGGAACUUGCCAGCAAGAAAUGGAGGCUAAAGUAACAGAGAAAUAAUAAGAAUACCACCAUUUAUUGAAUUGGGCACUAUUUUAAGUGAUGCUUUAAAUCAUUUAAUGUUCCCAACAAACAUAUGAGGCAGCUGUUACUUUUCUAAUCCUAUAUGUGAGGAAACUAUGACAAUGAAUGUUUAAGUAAAUUUCCUAAUGCCACAUAGGAAGAUGACAGAGCUGAGAUUAAGACUUCAUACC
rnacentral:lncRNA from 1 species